rnacentral:rRNA from 1 species
AACGAACGCUGGCGGCAUGCCUAACACAUGCAAGUCGAACGAGACCUUCGGGUCUAGUGGCGCACGGGUGCGUAACGCGUGGGAACCUGCCUUUAGGUUCGGAAUAACUCAGAGAAAUUUGAGCUAAUACCGGAUGAUGUCUUCGGACCAAAGAUUUAUCGCCUUUAGAUGGGCCCGCGUUGGAUUAGUUAGUUGGUGGGGUAAAGGCCUACCAAGGCGACGAUCCAUAGCUGGUCUGAGAGGAUGAUUAGCCACACUGGGACUGAGACACGGCCCAGACUCCUACGGGAGGCAGCAGUGGGGAAUAUUGGACAAUGGGCGAAAGCCUGAUCCAGCAAUGCCGCGUGAGUGAUGAAGGCCUUAGGGUUGUAAAGCUCUUUUACCCGAGAUGAUAAUGACAGUAUCGGGAGAAUAAGCUCCGGCUAACUCCGUG